UGGGGAAUUUUGGACAAUGGGCGAAAGCCUGAUCCAGCAAUGCCGCGUGUGUGAAGAAGGCCUUCGGGUUGUAAAGCACUUUUGUCCGGAAAGAAAUCCUUGGCUCUAAUACAGUCGGGGGAUGACGGUACCGGAAGAAUAAGCACCGGCUAACUACGUGCCAGCAGCCGCGGUAAUACGUAGGGUGCAAGCGUUAAUCGGAAUUACUGGGCGUAAAGCGUGCGCAGGCGGUUUGCUAAGACCGAUGUGAAAUCCCCGGGCUCAACCUGGGAACUGCAUUGGUGACUGGCAGGCUAGAGUAUGGCAGAGGGGGGUAGAAUUCCACGUGUAGCAGUGAAAUGCGUAGAGAUGUGGAGAAUACCGAUGGCGAAGGCAGCCCCCUGGGCCAAUACUGACGCUCAUGCACGAAAGCGUGGGGAGCAAAACAGGAUUAGAUACCCUGGUAGUCCACGCCCUAAACGAUGUCAACUAGUUGUGGGGAUUCAUUUCCUUAGUAACGUAGCUAACGCGUGAAGUUGACCGCCUGGGGAGUACGGUCGCAAGAUUAAAACUUAAAGGAAUUGACGGGGUCAUAGCUGUUUCCU
rnacentral:rRNA from 1 species